AUCCAGUUUGCGAGUCCCAAAUAGAACGAAAUGCGCAUUCUGGAU
rnacentral:hammerhead_ribozyme from 1 species